rnacentral:rRNA from 1 species
GACGGAGGGUGCAAACGUUGUUCGGAUUCACUGGGCAUAAAGCGCACGUAGGCGGCCCGUUUAGUCAGUUGUGAAAUCCCCCGGCUCAACCGGGGAAUGGCAUCUGAUACUGGCGGGCUCGAGGUCGGUAGGGGUGAGCGGAACUCCAGGUGGAGCGGUGAAAUGCGUAGAUAUCUGGAGGAACACCGGUGGCGAAAGCGGCUCACUAGGCCGGCUCUGACGCUAAGGUGCGAAAGCUAGGGUAGCAAACGGG